GACGAACGCUGGCGGCGUGCUUAACACAUGCAAGUCGAACGGAAAGGCCCUGCUUUUGUGGGGUGCUCGAGUGGCGAACGGGUGAGUAACACGUGAGUAACCUGCCCUUGACUUUGGGAUAACUUCAGGAAACUGGGGCUAAUACCGGAUAGGAGCUCCUGCUGCAUGGUGGGGGUUGGAAAGUUUCGGCGGUUGGGGAUUGACUCGCGGCUUAUCAGCUUGUUGGUGGGGUAGUGGCUUACCAAGGCUUUGACGGGUAGCCGGCCUGAGAGGGUGACCGGCCACAUUGGGACUGAGUAACGGCCCAGACUCCUACGGGAGGCAACAGUGGGGAAUAUUGCACAAUGGGCGGAAGACUGAUGCAGCAACGCCGCGUGCGGGAUAACGGCCUUCGGGUUGUAAACCGCUUUCGCCUGUGACGAAGCGUGAGUGACGGUAAUGGGUAAAGAAGCACCGGCUAACUACGUG
rnacentral:rRNA from 1 species